rnacentral:rRNA from 1 species
CCUACGGGAGGCUGCAGUGAGGAAUAUUGGUCAAUGGACGAGAGUCUGAACCAGCCAAGUAGCGUGAAGGAUGACUGCCCUAUGGGUUGUAAACUUCUUUUAUAAAGGAAUAAAACGAGGCACGUGUGCCUUUUUGCAUGUACUUUAUGAAUAAGGAUCGGCUAACUCCGUGCCAGCAGCCGCGGUAAUACGGAGGAUCCGAGCGUUAUCCGGAUUUAUUGGGUUUAAAGGGAGCGUAGAUGGGUUGUUAAGUCAGUUGUGAAAGUUUGCGGCUCAACCGUAAAAUUGCAAUUGAUACUGGCAGCCAUGAGUACAGUUGAGGUAGGCGGAAUUCGUGGUGUAGCGGUGAAAUGCUUAGAUAUCACGAAGAACCCCGAUUGCGAAGGCAGCUUACUAAACUGUGACUGACAUUGAUGCUCGAAAGUGUGGGUAUCAAACAGGAUUAGAUACCCGAGUAGUC